UGCUCCCCCAAUCUGGGAGCAGUUCUCCUCCGCCCCACACCUGCAUCUGGACACUCCUUCAUAUCCGUGCCGGAGCCGUGGCCAAGCCAAGGGCACUGGGGCACAAAGGGCAGAGUCCAUGCCUUUUCUGCCACUCGACAGGUAAACAGCUGCUGCUGUGUGUCUGCUGUGGUCUGGGCCAUCCUUCCGCACUCCCGGAGGGCAGGAGCACCAUGGAUAGGUCCCCGGACUAAGACUCCGGGAGUGUCUCAAGGACUCUCUUCCACGGAUUUAGUGAAUGGCUUUCGUACCCUUUUAAGAGGUCAAGGUCCCAGUGGAGUGAGAACACCUGACACCUGCGCCAGUGGCGGGUCCGGAGCCUAGGGGACAGCGCAGUCACCUGACUGCAGCGCUCGUGAUUUGGUGUCGAGGUACCUAGCGCCACCGUGCGGCCAGUUCUCAAAGCUUGCGCUGUGUGCAAAGAUGACCCGGGCACUUAACAGACCAGGAUGCACGUGAUGUACAAGAUAUAAAACACUUACAUAAAAUAAAUCUUUGGCCUGGCGGUGGUGGCUCACGCCUUGAAUCCCAGCACGCGGGAGGCAGAGGCAGGCGGAUCUCUGUGAGUUCGAGGCCAGCC